AGGAGAAUCCAGAGAGGAGAAAACAUUCAGGAACUGGAUGAACUCUCUGGGAGUUGCUCCCUAUGUCAACCACCUCUACUGUGACCUGUGUGAUGCGGUGGUGAUUCUCCAGUUGUAUGAGAAAGUCAACGUCCCUGUAGAGUG